AUACGUAGGUGGCAAGCGUUAUCCGGAUUUACUGGGUGUAAAGGGCGCGUAGGCGGGGGCGCAAGUCAGAUGUGAAAUCUAUGGGCUUAACUCAUAAACUGCAUUUGAAACUGUAUCUCUUGAGUGCUGGAGAGGUAGACGGGGUGCCUUGUGUAGCGGUGAAAUGCGUAGCCAUAAGGAAGAACACUAGUAGAGGAGGCGGACUUCUGUACAGUAACUGACGCUGAAGCUCUAAAGCGAGGGGAGCAAACUUGAUUAGAUACGCUGGUAGUCCACGGUGUAACCGAUGAAGAAUAGGUGUGGGUGGACUGUCCCCCUGCGUGCCGAAGUUAACACAAUAAGUAUUCCGCCUGGGGUGUACGGCCGCAAGGUUGAAACUCAAAUGAAUCGGCGGGG
rnacentral:rRNA from 1 species